GCCUGGGUGGCUCAGUCGGUUGAGCAUCUGACUUUGGCCCAGGUCGUGAUCUCAUGGUUCGUGGGUUCAAGCCCCACGUCGGGCU
rnacentral:tRNA from 1 species